GAGCAUCACUGUAUUUCACUGGUGAAAAUGUGCUACCUGGGACUGGCAAGCAUUUUAUCUGCCUUACUAAGACACUUGCCCUUUAAGGGGUGAAAGAGUAACCCCAUGAACAUCUGGGAUUAUUUCCUACUGUGAAGUUUCUAGGGACCUAUGGUCAAAAGAUGUCAGGAAAGAGUGACAGACUGCUACAUCUUGCAUUUCCUACUACAAAGAAGGAGAAACAAUUCUGAUGGACCCGUGCAUUUUAAAGAUAACAUAUACUACACUUGGGUGUGCUGCUCUGAUGCCCCAUGAUGCUGCCAGAUUUCAGAGGCACCAGGUCAAGAAACUGCUUGUAGUGCAAGCUGCUAUGCCCCAUGACUGAGGAGACCCAAUGUCAGGGGCAAUGUUGCUGUAGUUGAUAUGAAAUGCCUCCCAGAGCUUGUUUAGCUGUAAACGACUCUAAUGGGAUUACAUGGAAACCUAGAGGUAUGCAGGUAAAGCCUUUCUGCUUACAGCCAUUCUCCACUGGGAAGGUAGCUCUGUGCUCACUACUAGGCUCUGGCAGACACUGAACUCCUGGUCAUAAGACACCAAGUACCUAUGGGUGCAGAAGCAUCAUAUGUAGAUGUAGCUCAUCUACAAAGCUAAGCCAAAGCAAACUGCAAAAAUUGGUAAUUGGUUAAUUUUACACAUCGGCUUGGCUGGGCCAAUCUGACCUAGAGAGUUGGUCAAAUAUUACUGUCAAUGUUUCUGUGCAGGUGUGUUUUAGAUAAGAAAUACAUGUACACUGGUAGGUGCUGAGUACCCUUCAAACUGUGGGUGGGCCUCAUUGGGUCAUCUGAAGACGUGAACAGAACAAAAAGUUGACUUUCCUCAAGCAACAGGGAAUCUGCCAGCCAUCUGCCUUUAGAUCCAAACUAUAAUUUUUCUCCUGAGUCUCAGCCUGCCAACCCAUCCCAUCAGAUUUUGGACUUACCCAGCCUCCACAAGCACGUGAGCCUGAACACUGGCGCAGGUUCUGGGGAACCCUAAAAUGCAGAUACACAACACAAGCUCUUGGAACCUGCUCUCGCUGCUUUGCUGCCUCUCGGCAACACACAUGGAGAUUCCUCUAUGACUGAGUAAGUAGGAGAGAGGAAACCAGGCCUAAGGACAUACAACGUCAGCCAGAGUGGGUGGCAGUGUCGUCACACCCCAGUCAGAGGUCGCGGAAGACAGCAUGAACUCCUCCAGGGUGCAGCACUGGCAUGGUACCUGUGAGUUUCACUGCAAUGGAAGGAGGGAGCUUCUGGAAGAUGGAUCUACACAGGUUCAUAAGCAGAGACUAAUGGGAUGGCCAACUAGCCAGGGACCUAAAAAACAAGACCAGAAGAAGGUGGCAAGGAGCACUGGGCAGGGCUGUGCAGAGAGCUGUGUAGGCACCAAUCCUGAAGGAUCUUCAACCUACCUGGUGCCCGCCAGAGGACAUGCCCAACCUCACCCACUGGGACGAAGGCUAUUGUAGUCUCAACAACACGCAACCCACAGGAGAGGGCAGUGCUGAGCUCCCUGAUCUGAAGGGCCAGCCACCUGGUGGCAGUGGGUGGCACUGUAUCCCUUCCACCCUGGAGCAGUGACUUGUGGCUCCCUGUAUGAAUAGAUAUAAUUUCCACACGUGUUUGCUUCCUAGCACUCUGCCAGCAGCACCUUUGCUUAUCCAUCACUCCAGGCCACACUGCGAACAGGAAGUGCACUCUAAGGCAAAGACCAUGCAGCAGAGUUCAUUCUAAUUCAAUUAAAUUCAGGUGGCCCUUCUCAGGUCUUGCCAUCCAGAAGCAAUGGUUUUGGUGCCUGGUAGAAGACAACAUUCCGCACAGCUAGGAUGCCAUCCUGUGGGAGGUGGCACACACCUCAGACCAGCAGCCAAUACAGAGCCUGCCUCACCUACCCAGAUGCCCAAAACUGGUAAUGGAGGUUAGGAGUGGGCGCCGCUUCUCCUUGCUUCAUCCUCCUAAGGGAUGUUCGCUUCUGAUUCCUGCAACCUUGUGCUCAGUGAUCUGGAGGUCUCGGUGCCAAGGGAAGAACAAGGGAAUGCAGCCACUGCGUUCACAUCAAAAUGCAAGCGAGGGCUGCCUUCUGACCACCUCAGCCUGGUGACUGAGUGGCAGGAGAGGUGUUUGGUCUGCCUGUCAGGGAGAAGCUGGGUUGCCACUACACGACAAGGACAGAGAGCACCAUGUGCAGAAUCCACGAUUUCAGAGGGCACUCAGGAUUCUCUUACCUCAUCUACUGUCAGCGAAAGAUCGUGCUACGACCAAUAAAGACAGGAUGCUGACUACAAACAAAGGAGGGGAAAGAACCCUGAUUCAUUCCUCCUAAGGGAAUGUCAAAGAGGUGCCAAAAGCAGCAAGUACUAUUAGCUUGAGCUUCAUAAGCAGGUUUCAGGUGGGAUCUGCCAUCAUUCAGUACCUGACAGGACUUUAUGCGUCCCUGUGCUGGGCAUCGGAUUCUUCAUCCAGACAGUGGCGAGGGCAGUAGCUGCC
ensembl:lncRNA